CUUUCUGCCUGAUAUCUGCCCACACCUUUCUUGGAGGAUACCAAGAUUCAUGUUAAAUGCUUUUCAAUAGUCUUACUGUCUUAUACAUUUUUAGGGCUUCACACCUAUUGUGGGGAAAUAGCACCCCAGCUGAUAUACCCUCUUGCGGUGACAGCAAGAACAUGAAGGAUGUGCUCCAUGCCUGCUUUUACAUCCCUGCUGCAGUCUUCAAGCCACAUUUGUAUGCAUCUUGAAUGGCAGUUAUUUACUUUAAAUGGCUAUAAGUAAUAGUAAUUUCUCUCUUUUUUUUACAAUGAUACACCAUCUGUCAUUUCUUGUGAAGAAUUGUUUUCACCUAAUGCAAUAUAAAAGCAUCAGUUUCUAAUCUAAGCAGUGUUCAUAUUUGAUUGGGUAAAUUUAAGCACUGACAGUUCCAUUUUGAUAUUGUCAAAUUUUAAAAGAAAAGACUGUUUUAACUAUGGAUUUAAAGUUCAUUAACACCACUAAAGAUGAUAAAUGUAUGAAUGCUGUAUUGUGUAACACAUAGAUAGAAAUGCAUAAAUUUUGGUUUGCUGCUCUGCCUCAGUAAGUGAUUGAAAUGUCUCGCUUAACAGAUUUCAGUCAAUAGGUCACUUUCAGUUAAUUGUGUUUUAAUUCCAUUCCAAUCAAUGGGGGAAAAUAGUUAUGACUAACUUAAGUCCCACGGGACCAAGAUGUAACUAACAGUACCCAGCCCACAAUUUCUUUUAUGUUUCUUGCUGGAAAGUGGGAGGGGUAUUCCCUUUAAAAAUUGCAUGAAUAAAGAAUACAAAUGAGCACAUCAAA